UAGAUAAGCAUUUUUCAAACUCUGUUUUAU
rnacentral:piRNA from 1 species